ACUGGUUUCACUUUCAAACAGAUGUAAUUUACCUUAAAUAAUUGUAUCUCAAUCUCUAAAUUGAACUUUAAUCACAUACAGGAGGCUCUUGCAGGGUCUAGCAAGCUAUUAACAUAGCAGGGGAUAAGAAAAUCUUAAUUAAACAGAACCUGCAAUAAAGAAAGCCUAAAUAGGGCUCUCUUUACAGGAAGUGUUUAUGGAAGGCUGUGCAAGUCACAUGCAGGGAGGUGUGACUAGGGUUCAUAAACAAAGGGAUUUAACUCCUAAAUGGCAGAGGAUUGAGCAGUGAGGCUGCAGGGGCAUGUUCUAU